rnacentral:rRNA from 1 species
AGAGUUUGAUCAUGGCUCAGAUUGAACGCUGGCGGAAUGCUUACACAUGCAAGUCGAACGGCAGCACGGGGCAACCUGGUGGCGAGUGGCGAACGGGUGAGUAAUAUAUCGGAACGUGCCCAAUCUGGGGGAUAACGUAGCGAAAGUUACGCUAAUACCGCAUACGAUCUACGGAUGAAAGCGGGGGAUCGCAAGACCUCGCGCGAAUGGAGCGGCCGAUAUCAGAUUAGGUAGUUGGUGGGGUAAAGGCUCACCAAGCCAACGAUCUGUAGCUGGUCUGAGAGGACGACCAGCCACACUGGAACUGAGACACGGUCCAGACUCCUACGGGAGGCAGCAGUGGGGAAUUUUGGACAAUGGGCGCAAGCCUGAUCCAGCCAUUCCGCGUGCAGGAUGAAGGCCUUCGGGUUGUAAACUGCUUUUGUACGGAACGAAACGGUCUGCCCUAAUACGGCAGGCUAAUGACGGUACCGUAAGAAUAAGCACCGGCUAACUACGUG